rnacentral:rRNA from 1 species
AGUGAACGCUGGCGGUAGGCCUAACACAUGCAAGUCGAACGGCAGCACAGUAAGAGCUUGCUCUUACGGGUGGCGAGUGGCGGACGGGUGAGGAAUACAUCGGAAUCUACUUUUUCGUGGGGGAUAACGUAGGGAAACUUACGCUAAUACCGCAUACGACCUACGGGUGAAAGCAGGGGAUCUUCGGACCUUGCGCGAUUGAAUGAGCCGAUGUCGGAUUAGCUGGUUGGCGGGGUAAAGGCCCACCAAGGCGACGAUCCGUAGCUGGUCUGAGAGGAUGAUCAGCCACACUGGAACUGAGACACGGUCCAGACUCCUACGGGAGGCAGCAGUGGGGAAUAUUGGACAAUGGGCGCAAGCCUGAUCCAGCCAUACCGCGUGGGUGAAGAAGGCCUUCGGGUUGUAAAGCCCUUUUGUUGGGAAAGAAAAGCAGCAGGUUAAUACCCCGCUGUUCUGACGGUACCCAAAGAAUAAGCACCGGCUAACUUCAUG